rnacentral:lncRNA from 1 species
CGGAGCUUUGAGGCCUGGAAAAGGGGGAAUGUUUUUAUUGCCGGAUUAAUAAUUUACCAGGACAAACUGGAAUUCAGGGCACUGAGAAUCUGAGAGAUUCUCACAGAGCUGAGCUCGCCUGCUCUUCACCAGCAAGGAGCUGCAUUUAGGGGCUCCCUCCUCAUUCCUCCAGCUCCCCAGUUUCCAAUUUCCCUCCUCUCCAAGGCAAACCUGCAGUGGAUAUUUCCAUGUGUGCCUCCCAGCCUCGGGAGGAGCUGGCUCCUGAGGAGUGAUAACCUGGCCAAGCAGACUUGGCACCAGGAAAGGGACAAUUCACAGCCCAGACAACUUUACCUGGAUUGAAUUAAUCCGAAGCAGCAGCAGCAGCAGCGCCUUCCCAGCCCUGGCAGCACGAGAUUGGCACAAUUCCCUGAUAAUAAAUUGUGCAGAGAGCAGCAAGAAAAGGGGAAAAUCCUGACUUUGAUGUGCUCUAUCUCCCAUCUCCAGCACAGUACGAGAGCCCUGGCCACGGAUGAGGGUGGAGAUUGCAGACGUGGAGGAAAUGGAUUGUGCUGGAAAGGGCACACUCCCAGCAGGACUCUGCAGCCACAGCGGUGGCCCUGGAGAUGAUUCCAGCAGCAGAUUUGGUUGGAGGUUUGAGUGCAGGCACAGGAUGCAGCUGGGAUUUGGGAAUACAGUCACACAGAGCAGGAGCAGUGUGCAUUAUUCAUCACACAGGAUCUGUCCCUGGGCAGCCAGACACAAGCCAGGAGGUGAUGCCUUGGGAAUGCUGACCUGGAGCAGAGGCUGGACAGAGCUCAGGAUAAAGCAGGGAUUUACUGAAAGGCCUUAAAGGACACACCUUGGGCACUACAAGAGCCCGGCCAGGGCUGCACCCAAGAUGGACCAAAAAUGGUCCCAAAAUGCACAACUGCUCUCGAGGGCUCACAUUUUUAUCAGUUUUGGUCCAUCUGCAUAUCGGGGUGAAUUGUCCAGUCCCAGCUUCAGGUUAUGGAGUCCCACCCUUCUUGUUUUCUCUCUCCAGCCCAGCGCUGUUUCUGCUCUGGGGCCUGGAACUUGUAACGAUUGUCCUUGGUAGCAAGCUGGAAGGGGAGUUGUUUUGUCUGCCUGCUCUGUGCAGAGAGCUCACUGACACUCAAUAUGAAGCUCAAAACUACAAAACUAGGCAGCACAGGAUGUGAAAAAUAUAAUAAAAUAUAAUAAAAUAUAAUAAAAUAUAAAAAC